CAUACUGCACCACGGCCUCCUAGAGAAGACAUGACAUAGAAAUGGUGUUCAUUAGUCUUUGAGACUCGAGUUGUUUGUCUUCUCCACAGUCUCCAAGGACCCUUCCUCUAAUGCGUAAUCUUCACCACAAUGCGCCUAAAGAUGCUACAUGGACACUGAGUGCCCUAUACCUGCAGGAUGUUGCACUGCUGGAUGGUGGUGUGCUGCAGCUGGGUGGUUUCCUGCUGCAGGCUUUGUGCUGUGCGACAGACGACCAGAGCGGCCACCACCUCCUCUGGAAGCCGGAGGGCGCUCUGACACUGCUGCACUGCCGCCACCUGCCGCUUGAAGCCGUCCAUCUCGGCCAACAAACGCUGAGGGAGAGGAGUCGGAUUUGUGUAUUUAAACGAUCUGUCCACCAGAUGGCGAUACUUUCCACCAUUCAAAGCAUGCAGCAACAUUUCACACCGUCUUACUUACUGAUUUAUUGGUGCACCGCUCCCCAUAAGAAGCCUCCUCCAGACUGGCGCCCUUGAUUUCAAAUCUCAACGCGAUGGUCUUCAGCUUGGCCUCGAUGUCCUUCAGUCUGCAGCUGAAGUCCUCUUUCACGUCCCGUGUCUGCUGCACCUCUCGUUCUCUGGCCUGGACCUGGAGCACACGGCACAAAGACACUCGGGAUUAACUUUUGUGGCUCAGUGCUGCUGGUACAGGUGUUCACCUGAUCUUCGGCGGAGCUUAGAGCCAGCGUCACCUCCGCCAGCUGCAUGCUGAGCUCCGAGGGCAGACCCGCCUGCAGGUCCUGGUACUUGGACUGUUGCAUCUCCG